rnacentral:lncRNA from 1 species
CAUUUUCUCAGAGUCCUACACUGCUUCUCCCUCCAUUACACUCUUUUUUAACACCUUCUGCUAUUCCUUCUUGACACGUGUUACAUUUGUAAUUUUUGAUGGGCUUUUCAGGAUUAUGUAUCUUUCAUUUCCACAAAAGUUCGAGUAGGGGUCUUAGCUUACUGGUUAACAAUAUAGCUAACUAGAGUCACAAUCCCAGCUCUGCCAGUUACUUCCUUUGUGGCCUGUGUGUCUCCUAUGUAAAAUGUGGUGAAGAUUGAAUAAGUAAAAGGCCCAUAGUAAUUACUAUGCAAAUGCUUAUGCAGUAUUUUCAUCUUUAUUGUAUUGGCUUUAAUGGCUACCACAUUAUAAGCCCUCAGAAGUAUUCACCAUCUGAAUUAAUGAAUGAGAAUCUUUUCCUUGUCCUUAUAGAGAACUGUACACUAAAUGAAGGAACUCUUCCAGUUCCUGGGACAUGGAUCUUAAUUUUCUUGAGCAUUGUGGGACAAAAAUGCAUAUGAAAAAUAAGAGGGUUGGGACUCAUAGGCCUUGAAAUUGAUUUCCUUUCUACUUUGCCUGUUUCUUCUGUUAUGCUCCAGAGUUGAGAACAAAUCCGGUGUAUAUUAAGGCCAUGACUUAUGAUACCUGUUUAAUUCACUCCCUCAUCAAGUAUUGUUUGAGCACCUACUAUGCUCUAGGCAUUAUUCUAACUGCCAGGGAUAUAGAAAACCACCCAAACAAAAUUCUGCCUUUGUGGAAUACACACUCAGUCACAGCAGGAAAACUUUGGCUUAUCUCCAACUCUUUGUGGAUUUCUAAAGUAAAUAUGAUGAAAUAUCGUGUACCCUCUCUCUCCCAACCCUGGAAAAUUCCAGAACUAUUUACUCAAGUUUCCCUAAGCAACUGGGGAAUUUCAGAGCUGAUCUGAGGUCUGCAAAUACAGCUAUAGAAAAUCUAACUAAAUUAAUGAAGUGUUUCUCAAAAAGUAUAAAAUUUAGUAGAGUCUGUUACUCAAAAUGCACAAUCCAUGGACAGAUGUGUAUGGAGAACAAUAGUUUUUUUUAAAGCUUUUAAAAUUACCAUUACUGUGGCUUUUCUUGCUUUGUUAUGUUUCAUCUUGCCUUGACUUUGGGACCCUCUCAUUAACAUAGCCGUUUAAAUACCAGAUCAGACUUUUCCUACUGUGCACACUUGAGCAAGGUACUAGACUUUUCUAGGUGUCAGUUUCCACAUCUGUAAAAUGGGUAUAAUAACAAUUAUCAUUUCAUAAAGUUAUUGAGAAUUAAUGAGUCAGUCAUGUAAUUUGUAUAGUUCAGAACUUGACCCAUGAUGGGGACUCAGUGUUAAUUUUGUUAUUGUAAUUCUUGUUAUACACCUCCCAAUGAACCAAGAAAGUCUUUAUUCCAGGAAUUGAUCUCUAUAGAACACACUUGGGAGACAGUAAACUUCAUGAAGACAUUAAACAUGCAGAAAAUGCCAAUUAAGUUCACUCUGGCCACUUCAAAAGAAGCCCUGGGUCAACAGACACAGACAAAUCAGCUCUUGUAAGAAAGGCAAGUAGAGUAGAUAAACCCCAGCCAUCCAUGCUCCAGGGGAGGACCAAAGGCCCCUGCAAGGACAGUGAAAUCCUGUUCCAACUCAGACGACCUCCGUGACACGACAAUAAACUGCAAUGCACAUGAAUAGCCACACAGCCUGGCUAUAUUUAAAGUUAAGAGCUCUAAUAUUACUAAUGAGAUCACUUAGGUUUCCCCCAAAAAUUGUGAAUGUAAAAAUGAGAAAUGCAUACAGAGUCUUAUCAUAACGAAUGCCAUUUAACCAAAAGCUUUUUUCCAUGUAUAACCAAUAAAUGUACGAGGAAUGUCCUGCCUGUAAAUAUUGUAGAAGGCAAUUCUUCUCUUGCCUCACUCCCAAAUAAGUCAUUUAAAAAUUGUCAGUCUCAAACUCCCAUCCUAUCAGACUUAAAUCUCUGAAUGAACAACCACAUAGAAUAAUUUAAAAAACAAUCUUGCAGACAGAGAAGAGGUAAAGUUUACACCUUUCAUCUUCUUAUUUUCUCUACCAAGUCAUUACACUAGGCUGAUAACCAGUGCUGAUGGGGGAAAGGGGUUAAAGGAGUAAAUGAUUUCAAGAAUAGAAGUCAGAUGAGGAAUCAGGAAUCUUGAUACACAGAUAUAUUAGAAAACAAGACAAGAGAAGUAAAAAUCCAAAUGUGGUAGAGGUGGGGGCUUGGUUAUAUGUGUUCACAGGGUUUGUAAAGCAGGCACCAGUUGGUAGUUUGCACCUAAUUUAGUUGGUUACCCAGCCUAGCUUUACCUGUAUGAGGUAUGGUUAUAAAAGUCUUCUGAUGCUGAGACUUGGAGGUUCAUAUCAAAAAAUAAAGUACAUCCUGGCUGACUGAGGAAGGACGGUGAAAGACUGUGCCUGGAAAUAUUCAUAUGUCUCUACAGUGAUGAUCCUCUGUGAAUUCUUUCUCCUGACCCUUGCCCUUUAUAAAGGGCACCUUGUCUUUACCUAAAUACCUGUCCUCCUUUCAAAUAUGCAACCCAAUGUAACCAUUACACCAACCUAGCUGAAGUAUUUCUUUUCAUUGCUAAUUUCAAGGGUUAAAUAUGAUGCUUGGUUCUAUUGGUCCUUCAGUUCUAUCCCACUAGCAGUGCAACUUAUGCUAACAUACUACCUAGAUCUAAGUUCUGCGGCAACAAAAUUCAGCUACCUCUUCUGUUUCAUGAUAAUGCUAUUUUGUAUGUUAUUUUCUGUCUCUGCAGUUGGGUGCUAUCAUUUUGAUUUUUGUGAUAGAAUUCAAAAUAUCUUCAGUCAAUUUAAAAAUACCAUGUGAAACAGUGUUUACAAUUUUGUGCCAUAUGUCUAUUAAGAGUAUCCUUUUCAUGGAGUUCCCGUCGUGGUGCAGUGGUUAACGAAUCCGACUAGGAACCAUGAGCUUGCGGGUUCGGUCCCUGCCCUUGCUCGGUGAGUUAAGGAUCCUGCGUUGCUGUGAGCUGUGGUGUAGGUUGCAGACGCGGCUUGGAUCCCGUGUUGCUGUGGCUCUGGUGUAGGCCAGUGGCUACAGCUCCGAUUCGACCCCUAGCCUGGGAACCUCCAUAUGCCCUGGGAGCGGCCCAAAGAAAUAGC